rnacentral:rRNA from 1 species
GACGAACGCUGGCGGCGCGCCUAACACAUGCAAGUCGAACGGAGUUUCCCCUUCGGGGGGGAGCUUAGUGGCGGACGGGGUGAGUAACACGUGAGGAACCUGCCUUUGAGAGCGGGAUACCGUCUGGAAACGGACGUUAAUACCGCAUAAUGCAGCGAGGCCACAUGGCCAUGCUGCCAAAGUUUAUCGCUCAAAGAUGGCCUCGCGCCUGAUUAGAUAGUUGGCGGGGUAACGGCUCACCAUGGCUAUGAUGUCUAGGGGUUCUGAGAGGAAGACCCCCCAUACUGGGACUGAGACACGGCCCAGACUCUUACGGGAGGCAGCAGUGAGGAAUAUUGGACAAUGGACGAAAGUCUGACGGAGCAACGCCGCGUGAGUGAUGAAGGUUUUCGGACUGUAAAACUCUGUUGUCAGGGACGAAGGUGCGAUCUGCGAAUAGUUGAUCGUAUUGACGGUACCUGACGAGGAAGCCACGGCUAACUACGUGCCAGCACG